CUCGCCCCCUCUUGCUCUGUGGUGGUGCGCUGGUGGUCCAGCCCGGCACACCAUAGCUCAGUCGCUGGACUCCCACUACCAGGCUCAUUCCCAACUAGCCUGGUCUCCUCCUCCUCCCCCUUCACAUCUAGUUUAAAGCUUUAUUUAAAAGCCUAACUAGAUUUUUAGGAAGUACUUUAGUCCCCCUUGGAGACAAGCGUGUCCCAUCCCUAGCAAGAAAGCCUGUGGGUGCGUGGGUCACUCCAUGAUCAAAGAAUCCAAAGCCUCUCUCCUCACACCAGGCUCGGAGCCAGGCAUUAAACAGCUGUUUGUUUUUGACCUCCUGUUCCUUAUACCUUAGUGUUGGGAUGGAACAAAACACCACUUGUGCUCCCGAGGCCUCCAUCGUUCUCCCUAGAGCCCUGAAGUCUCUUCUGAUCUGCGCUGUAAGUCAUCAUGGCCUAUUUGAAAUACCAGCAGGGGGUAAUAAUCCGUUUCCUUCACCAAGGAAGGAAGUUUUCUAGUGACAUCCUUCACUGACGCCCCCGCUCUGCCACCACGCGAAGGAGUUCCCCCCGCGAGCACAGCUCCCACCAGUGGAGCCGUUACCAGAGGCGUGAGCUGCUGUGGGAGGGGGCACUGCCUGCAGCCCAGGCUCUGCGGAGCUGCACGGACCCACUGAGGCUCCGCCUGGGGGGCAACAUCUCUCCUGCUCGCUGCGGCACCCGGGGCAGUUUUGAUCUUCUGCCUGGUAGCCACCAUGGCCCACGGCCCCGUCUGACCAGCCACCAGCCUCUCUCUCCCUGAGCCCUUCCUGCUCGCCCUGCCGCUCAAACUGCCCCUUUAUACUAACGUGCCGCGCUCCGGGUCGCUGUGCUCCCGAGGGACGGUUGAAAUCCCCCGCGGGACCCGCCGGGAGCGCCCCCUCCCGUCAGGCCCCGCGCGGGACCGUCCGCUGCCGCCUGUCAGGAGCCGAGCGCCGCCCGCCCCGCUCCCGCUGCGGUUUUCCAAGGCUUUUCCCGUCUCAGGGCAGUGCCCCACCGCCUCAGACGGCCACCCCACCGCAGCGCUCACCGUCCUGCCGCUGGAUGCCGCCGAAAAGGCAUCACCUUCACCAAUAAAUGCCAACACAGAGACCAAGUGAAUGCUGUCUCCUCUCACUCGCAGCUCUUGAUCAGGGCCAGCCUGAUCUCCAGGAAAACAGUUCACCACGUUCUAUUUCACCUUUGCCUCCCAUGGUUAUUACCCGUAGUGUGGAAACUCUACGCUCAGAAGCUGCUUCGUAGUUCAUGACCAUCCUCUCGGCAAUUGUAGCUCGCUACUCCCCACAGCAGAGGUACGGCACUACAAAGCUUCUGGGCACUAUAAAGGUGUACAGAGGAAAGCAUUCAUUUUCUUUGUCAGGUGCCGGAAACACUUUGUCAGGAAGGCCCUGUGCAAGAGCGAGGUUGGAAGCACAACGGAGCGAGAGCUCGGCACACUUCAGGGUGUACCCAAAAGACCCAAUGUCUUGACAGCUUUGGUGGAAAACUCAUUCCUGGAUCGGAAGCAUGGCUUCGGUGUUUUCUUCUACUAUGGCUGGAAGCUCCUAGGUGAAGGCAACAAAAGACGUUACUCGUGCACAAG